rnacentral:tRNA from 1 species
AGCCUCGUGGACGACUAGAGAAGUCGCUGUGCCUCUCAAACACAGAGAAGCGGGUGCAACUCCCGUCGAUGCUCCCA